rnacentral:misc_RNA from 1 species
GAUGAAGAACGUAGCGAAAUGCGAUAAGUAAUGUGAAUUGCAGAAUUCAGUGAAUCACCGAAUCUUUGAACGCACAUUGCGCCCGCUGGUAUUCCGGCGGGCAUGCCUGUUCGAGCGUCAUUUCAACCCUCAAGCUCUCCGGAGUUUGGUGUUGGGGCGCCUGGGGCUUUUCGACCUCAGGGCCCUCAAGUCCAUCGGCGGGACCGCCAGGACACUGAGCGCAGUAGUAUUAUUUCGCUCGGUAGGAUCUUCCACGGCGGGUCGAUCUGGCCGCUAAACCCCCCAAUUCUCACCAAAGGUUGACCUCGGAUCAGGUAGGAAUACCCGCUGAACUUAAGCAUAUCAAUAAGCGGAGGA